UACGUAGGGGGCAAGCGUUGUCCGGAUUUAUUGGGCGUAAAGAGCGUGUAGGCGGCCAUACAGGUCAGCUGUGAAAACUCGAGGCUCAACCUCGAGACGUCGGUUGAAACCGUAUGGCUAGAGUCCGGAAGAGGAGAGUGGAAUUCCCGGUGUAGCGGUGAAAUGCGCAGAUAUCAGGAAGAACACCCGUGGCGAAGGCGGCUCUCUGGAACGCAACUGGACGCUGAAGACGCGAAAAGCGUGGGGAGCAAACAGG
rnacentral:rRNA from 1 species